rnacentral:lncRNA from 1 species
GGGCAAGUAACUUGUGCCACUUUAAGAGUUAGAAAAAAGGAGUGUUUUUCAGGAUCUUUAGUUCUGCUACAGAGUCAUUGUAUCAUCUCAGCUAAUUAAUUUCACCUUUUAUAUGCUUCAGUAUUUCCAUCUGUGAAUGAACUAAUGACACCUACUUAAAGGCAGCAUUGUGAAGAUUAAUUAAUUGACAUUAUUGAAGUAUCCUGAGGUGGAAAUUCUGAUGUAAGUACAAAAUAUUGUUACUGAUACUUCCUAAUUAAUCAGCUCACAGUAGCCAGCAUGUGGUAAUCAUAUUGGUCUAGAGCAAACAAACAGAACUGGAUUAUAUUUGAAAUCUGUGGUUCACUCUCUCUCUCUCUCUCAUUUCUGUUUUUACAUGUUAAAGGAACAAUCUUAUGCACUGAGUGAACACUUAUGAAGUAUCUCACGAACACCGCAUGCACAAUGAAUAUGGUUUUGUAUCGAAGUAAAAGGUUACGAUUCUGAACCCCAAAUCGCAGAGGCCAGUUUUCAGCUGACAGUAGUUCAUGCUGUACGUCUGUUAUCAGUUCCUUUAUAGUACAGCUCUUAAUUACAGUGAUAACACAA